GGAGGAGUGGCAGAGCGGUUGAAUGCAGCGGUCUUGAAAACCGCCGGACCUGGAAGGGUUCCGUGAGUUCGAAUCUCACCUCCUCCG
rnacentral:tRNA from 1 species